rnacentral:rRNA from 1 species
GACAGAGGAGCCAAGCGUUGUCCGGAUUGACUGGGCGUAAAGCGCACGCAGGCGGAACGGCGCGUGGGGUGUGAAAGCUGGCGGCUUAACUGCCAGUCGCCAUCCCAUACGGCCAUUCUGGAGCCUUGCAGAGGGCAGUGGAAUUGCCGGUGUAGUGGUGAAAUGCGUAGAGAUCGGCAGGAACACCCAGGGGGAAACCAGCUGCCUGGGCAAGCCGCUGACGCUGAGUGCGAGAGGCGUGGGGAGCGAACCGG